UAUCUCUGUAGAGUCUGCAUAUCAAUAAGCGGAGGAAAAGAAACUAACUAGGAUUCCCUCAGUAACGGCGAGUGAAGCGGGAAGAGCUCAAAUUUGAAAUCUUAAAGGGUUCUACCUUGACGAAUUGUAGUUUAAAGAAGUGUUUUCUGUUGGAGUUUUGGUAAAAGUUCUUUGGAAUAGGACAUCAUAGAGGGUGAGAAUCCCGUAUUUGGUCAUUCCUUCUAGCUUUGUGAUACACUUUCAAAGAGUCGGAUUGUUUGGGAAUGCAGUCCAAAAUGGGUGGUAAAUUUCAUCUAAAGCUAAAUAUUGGCGAGAGACCGAUAGCGAACAAGUACCGUGAGGGAAAGAUGAAAAGAACUUUGAAAAGAGAGUUAAACAGUACGUGAAAUUGUCAAAAGGGAAGCGUUUGACACCAGUGUUGUUUUUCCGAAAAUCAAUUAAGAAUGUUUUAUUUUUGAGGAGUUAUGACUUCAUCGGCUUGCUCCUUUCUUUAUGGAACUUUCUUAAUGCACUUUUCGGUUAACAAGUCAACAUCAAUUUCUUUUGUUGUAAAAGAGUAUGAGGAAGGUGGCUUUCUUUUCGGAGAAAGUGUUUAUAGCCUUGUACUUCUGCAAUCGGAGAGAUUGAGGUCUGCAGCGUAGAUCCUUCGGGGUUAGAUACACUUGUGCUAAGUUAUAGCUUUUCAUAGACAACUUGUUGAUUAUGAUUAGUCUUGUAGCUUACUCGCUUGUGCUAUUUUACCUACGCUUAGGAUGUUGAGUAGCGACAUACGCAC
rnacentral:rRNA from 1 species